AAAAAACUACAUAAGCGCAUAUAACGGAUGCCUUGACGUAAGUUACCGACGAAGGACGUAGUAGGCUGCGAAAAGCUUCGGGGAGGUGCCAACAACCUUUGAACCGAAGAUUUCCGAAUGGGGAAACCCACAAUGAGUAAUGUCAUUGUACAUCUACCUGAAUAUAUAGGGUAGUUAGUGGUAAGUGCCUGAACUGAAACAUCUUAGUAGGGCGAGGAAUAGAAAGUAACCAACGAUUCUGGGAGUAGUGGCGAGCGAAACUGGAAUAGUCCAAACCUAGUUUACUUCCGUGUGUUUACACGGAUAAGUUGACAGACGAAUGUACACUAAUGGGGUUGUGAGAAGUAAAUUAACCAUGCUGAUAAGCUGUCUUAUAGACGGAAUAUCGGCUUGGCAAAGCAGGUGCUGUCACGAGCCUGCAUAAGGAGUAUAAAAAGACCUAACGCGAGUAGAAUCCUUUGGAAAGAGGAACCAAAGACGGUGAUAGUCCGGUAUACCAAGUGUUAGGAACCUUAUCAUUUACUAUCUCGAGUAAGACGGGGCACGAGAAACCCUGUCCGAAGCUGGGACGACCACGUUCCAAGACUAAAUAUGACUUACGAUCGAUAGAGAACUAGUACCGCGAGGGAAAGGUAAAAAGAACCCCGGAAGGGGAGUGAAAUAGAACCUGAAAUUAUAUGCGUACAAGGACUCGGAGCCCUUCGGGGUGACGGGGAGCUUUUUGUAGAACGAUCCAGCGAGUUAAUUGUAUGGGGUUUGCUUAAGCCAUUUGGCGUGAGGCACAGUGAAAGCGAGCCUGAAUAGGGCGAAAUAAUAUCCCAGCAAUUAGACCCGAAACCGGGUGACCU
rnacentral:rRNA from 1 species